GCGUGCUAGCUAGCUAGCUGUGGAAAAAAGCAUUUUUUGGUGCUUGUCCUUGUAACAUCUCUCCCCAAACUUCUUUCUGCUGGGAUUCAGAGGAAAAUCUUCCCUUUCUCUUCACCAACUAGGGAGUCGAUGCGGAGAUGAGCUCUACUGCUGCAGCAAAGAGGGUUUGCCUGGAGAACUAAUGCUUGAAGAAGCAGAUGAUGGAGAACCUGAGGUUAACUGGAUAUAAAACCCUCCCGCCUGCA